CAGAUAGCUCUGCCGCUAGAGGGGCCAAUCAGAGGAGAGCUGCCAGUGUACAGAGGGCUGCCUCUCUACUGGAAACACAAUGCUUUGUGGGAUACCUUGGAGGACCCAGUUCCCUUUUCUCAUAAUGGAAACUGCACCUGCAUUGAUUGUCUGGAUGGGACCUAUAUGGACUAGAGCCUGAGUACCUUUUCCUGAGUCUGAGCCUUUCCUAGAGCCCUUCCUGAGCCUUUCCUAGAGCCUGAGGACCCCCUUUUUCUGUGUGUACCACCCCAUUUGCUCUGAUCAACAUCUGAGGCCUGCUGCAGAUCUUUGGUUGCUGUUCUGGACCUAACCUUUGGCCUAAUCUGGACUGCUUCUGGCCCUUCCAACUGACCAUCUUCUGGCCAGAUCCCACAAGGUCCUGACAUGGAGUAGCCUCCGUGAACCUGCACAGCAAAGCUGGUUAAACAUGCUUCACCAUUUCAUCUGCACUUGGCUGCAUGAGAGAACAGGGUUUCCACCGUGACACCUGGCCAAGAAAUGGCUCCACACAGCAAACUG